UUAAUCCUAUUCAAAAUUGAAAAUUAUAGAAGAAACUUUCUUGAAAUAUUUUUUUGUAGUUAGUUGUAACACAAAAGUCAUUAGUUUCUAGUCAAUUAUCUUCUAUAUCCUAGAUUUCUAUUAAGACCUAAAAAAUUCUGUGAAUCAAGACCUAGGUAAUGGAAUUUUGUUGGGUUUGCGGGAAGAGAAAGAGAGUGGUUGUUAGUUUUCUUCUGCGUUUGGGGGUGGUGAGAGAGCUGUGUAUGAAGCAUAUGAUAGUGUCGUGUCAUACACAAAAGCUAUGAAUACUAGAUAAGGUAGCUCUUGUUAAAGUGGAGCAAAAUUACAAGGGAAAAUUACUAUUUAGUUUUUUUCUAUUUUUACGAAACUAACUAUUGGCUUUUUUAUUUUGAAAAAUUCAUUAACUAGUCUUUGUAUUUUUAUUCCGUACUAUUUAAUCUCUCCAUUCAGUUUAAAUCAAGUUUUUUAUUCGUUGAUGUAUAAGUAAGGAGUAAUUACUGUUAUGAGAACUAAAUAGUUAAGAAUUAAAA
rnacentral:misc_RNA from 1 species